rnacentral:rRNA from 1 species
GACUGCUCGAGCGCUGGAAAACACUCGCCCGCUCCACGGAGCGGCGGGUGGGGGACCAGCGGGUCACUCGGCGCCUUUCCUUUUCGGAGGAUCGGCCCGGGCUGGUCGGCCACCCCCUGUCCAACCCCAACCCAAACAUGAGCAAGUCUAAAGCCAAAGCGGUCUCGAAAGAGUCGCAUCAAACAACAGACAACUCUCAACAACGGAUAUCUUGGCUCCCGCAUCGAUGAAGAACGCAGCGAAAUGCGAUACGUAGUGUGAAUUGCAGAAUUCCGUGAAUCAUCGAAUCUUUGAACGCAUAUUGCGCUCGAGACUCCGGUCGAGAGCAUGUCUGUCUCAGCGUCGGCUCACCCCCUCGCCCCUCUUCCCAUUCGGCAAGAGUUUAAAGGAGCGGACGUGGCCGUCUCGGGCCUUCCUCUAGGCUCGGGUCGGCUGAAGCGCAGGGCUUGCGGCCGGACCCACACACAGGGCGCCAGCAUGGUAGGUGGCUUCACUGCUGCAUGCCGCUGUCGUUCCACCCGGUGGGCUCCCAUGCCGCGCGGCCAAGCAGGAAGCAUCGACUCGGGGGCUCGCCCCCGGGUCUUUCA